CGGCAAUAGCUCAAAUUUGAAAUCUGGCUUCGGUCCGAGUUGUAAUUUGUAGAGGAUGCUUCGGCUUCGGCUUGGGUCUAAGUUCCUUGGAACAGGACGUCACAGAGGGUGAGAAUCCCGUACGUGGCCCUUGCCCCCGCCAUGUGAAGCUCCUUCGAC
rnacentral:rRNA from 1 species